CCUACGGGUGGCAGCAGGGGGGAAUAUUGCACAAUGGGGGAAACCCUGAUGCAGCGACGCCGCGUGAGUGAUGAAGGAUUGCGGGAGGGAAAGCUCGAGCAGCAGGGAAGAAAAGGACGGUACCUGACUAAGAAGCCCCGGCUAACUACGUGCCAGCAGCCGCGGUAAGACGGCGGGGGCAAGCGUUAUCCGGAUUUACUGGGUGUAAAGGGAGCGUAGACGGCGGGGCAAGCCAGAUGUGAAAGCCUGGGGCUCCACCCCGGGACUGCCUUUUGAACGGUGCUGCGAGAGUGUCGGAGAGGCAGGCGGCAUUCCUCGUGUAGCGGUGCAAUGCGUAGAUAUUAGGCGGCACCCCCGUGGCGAAGGCGGCCUGCUGUACGAUGACUGACGUUGAGGCUCUACCGCGUGGGGAGCACACAGGAUUAGCUACCCCUGUAGUC
rnacentral:rRNA from 1 species